CAGCAGCCGCGGUAAUACAGAGGAUGCAAGCGUUAUCCGGAAUUAUUGGGCGUAAAGGGCUCGCAGGCGGUUUCUUAAGUCUGAUGUGAAAGCCCCCGGCUCAACCGGGGAGGGUCAUUGGAAACUGGGAAACUUGAGUGCAGAAGAGGAGAGUGGAAUUCCACGUGUAGCGGUGAAAUGCGUAGAGAUGUGGAGGAACACCAGUGGCGAAGGCGACUCUCUGGUCUGUAACUGACGCUGAGGAGCGAAAGCGUGGGGAGCGAACAGGAUUAGAUACCCCAGUAGUCCCUGUCUCUUAUAC
rnacentral:rRNA from 1 species